rnacentral:rRNA from 1 species
CCUACGGGAGGCUGCAGUGGGGGAUAUUGCACAAUGGGGGGAACCCUGAUGCAGCGACGCCGCGUGGGUGAAGAAGCGCCUCGGCGCGUAAAGCCCUGUCAGCAGGGAAGAAAAUGACGGUACCUGUAGACGAAGCCCCGGCUAACUACGGGCCAGCAGCCGCGGUAAUACGUAGGGGGCAAGCGUUAACCGGAUUUACUGGGGGUAAAGGGGGCGCAGACGGCGAUGCAAGACAGGAGUGAAAGCCCGGGGCCCACCCCCGGGACUGCUCUUGAAACGGCGUGGCUGGAGUGCAGGAGGGGCAGGCGGAAUUGCGGGUGUAGCGGUGAAAUGCGUAGAUAUCAGGAGGAACACCGGUGGCGAAGGCAGCCUGCUGGACUGCAACUGACGUUGAGGCCCGAAAGCGUGGGGAGCAAACAGGAUUAGAUACCCCUGUAGUC